rnacentral:rRNA from 1 species
AUUGAACGCUGGCGGCAUGCCUAACACAUGCAAGUCGAACGAGUGGCGGACGGGUGAGUAAUGCUUGGGAAUCUGGCUUAUGGAGGGGGAUAACGUCGGGAAACCGUCGCUAAUACCGCGUACCAUAGGAGGAUCCCAAGUGGGAUUAGGUUGUUGGUGGGGUAAUGGCCUACCAAGCCGACGAUCUCUAGCUGGUCUGAGAGGAUGACCAGCCAAACCGGGACUGAGACACGGCCCGGAGUCCUACGGGAGGAAGCAGUGGGGAAUAUUGCGCAAUGGGGGCAGCCGGACGCAGACAUGCGGCGUGAAUGAAGAAGGCCUUCGGGUUGUAAAGUUCUUUCGGUGACGAGGCGUUAAUCACAGAAGAAGCACCGGCUAACUCCGUGCCAGCAGCCGCGGUAAUUC